rnacentral:rRNA from 1 species
GCAUAUCAAUAAGCGGAGGAAAAAGAAACCAACAGGGAUUGCCCUAGUAACGGCGAGUGAAGCGGCAAGAGCUCAAAUUUGAAAUCUGGCCCCCUCGGGGUCCGAGUUGUAAUUUGCAGAGGGUGCUUUGGCGUUGGCUGUGGUCUAAGUUCCUUGGAACAGGACGUCGCAGAGGGUGAGAAUCCCGUAUGUGGCCGCCAGCCUCCGCCGUGUAAAGCCCCUUCGACGAGUCGAGUUGUUUGGGAAUGCAGCUCUAAAUGGGAGGUAAAUUUCUUCUAAAGCUAAAUACUGGCCAGAGACCGAUAGCGCACAAGUAGAGUGAUCGAAAGAUGAAAAGCACUUUGGAAAGAGAGUCAAAAAGCACGUGAAAUUGUUGAAAGGGAAGCGCUUGCAGCCAGACUUGCCUGUAGUUGCUCAUCCGGGCUCUUGCCCGGUGCACUCUUCUAUAGGCAGGCCAGCAUCAGUCCGGGCGGUUGGAUAAAUGCCUGCUAAAUGUACCUCUCCUCGGGGAGGACUUAUAGGGUAGGCGGCAUACGACCAGCCUGGACUGAGGUCCGCGCAUCUGCUAGGAUGCUGGCGUAAUGGCUGUAAGCGGCCCGUCUUGAAACACGGACCAAGGAGUCUAACAUCUAUGCGAGUGUUUGGGUGUCAAGCCCGAGCGCGCAAUGAAAGUGAACGGAGGUGGGAACCCCUCGGGGCGCACCAUCGACCGAUCCUGAUGUCUUCGGAUGGAUUUGAGUAAGAGCAUAGCUGUUGGGACCCGAAAGAUGGUGAACUAUGCCUGAAUAGGGUGAAGCCAGAGGAAACUCUGGUGGAGGCUCGCAGCGGUUCUGACGUGCAAAUCGAUCGUCAAAUUUGGGGCAUAGGGGGCGAAAGACUAAUCGAACUAUCUAGUAGCUGGUUCCUGCCGAAG